UGGGGAAUAUUGCACACUGGGCGCAAGCCUGAUGCAGCCAUGCCGCGUGUAUUUAGUAGGCCUUCGGGUUGUCAAGUACUUUCAGCGGGGAGGAAGGGAGUAAAGUUAAUACCUUUGCUCAUUGACGUUACCCGCAGCAUAAGCACCGGCUAACUCCUUUCCAGCAGCCGCGUUAAUACGGAGGGUGCAAGCGUUAAUCGGAAUUACUGGGCGUAAAGCGCACGCAGGCGGUUUGUUAAGGCAGAUGUGAAAUCCCCGGGCUCAACCUGGGGAAGGCAUAUGAUACUGGCAAGCUUGAGUCACGUAGAAGGGGGUAGAAAUCCAGGUGUAGCGGUGAAAUGCGUGGAGGUCGGGAGGAAUACCGGUGGCGAAGGCGGCCCCCUGGACGAAGACUGACGCUCAGAUGCGAAAGCGUGAGGAGAAAACAGG
rnacentral:rRNA from 1 species